rnacentral:tRNA from 1 species
GCGGAAGUGGCGGAAUUGGCAGACGCGCAUGAUUCAGAUUCAUGUGGGUAACUCCAUGGGGGUUCAACUCCCCCCUUCCGCA